rnacentral:misc_RNA from 1 species
UUUCCGUAGGUGAACCUGCGGAAGGAUCAUCAAUGAGUUGUCAUGGGGUUCGAUGCUGGCAGCCAAUUUUUGGAUGCAUGUGCUUGCCCUAACAAUCAUCUUCCAAACACCUGUGCACAUUUUUGAGGGAGUCUUGAGUUGGUUGCCGCUCUUGGGUGAUUUUCUCACAUUCCCUUAAAUCAUUAUACGCUAUUAACAAUGUUGAACGUGCUCUGUGCCGCAAGGCUAUUAAUAUAAUACAACUUUUAACAACGGAUCUCUUGGCUCUC